rnacentral:rRNA from 1 species
UACAGAGGUCUCAAGCGUUGUUCGGAUUCAUUGGGCGUAAAGGGCGCGUAGGCGGCGGGGUAAGUCGGGUGUGAAAUCUCAGAGCUCAACUCUGAAAUGGCACUUGAUACUGCUCUGCUAGAGGACUGGAGAGGAGAUUGGAAUUCACGGUGUAGCAGUGAAAUGCGUAGAUAUCGUGAGGAAGACCGGUGGCGAAGGCGGAUCUCUGGACAGCUCCUGACGCUGAGGCGCGAAGGCCAGGGGAGCAAACGGG